rnacentral:rRNA from 1 species
AAUAUUGCACAAUGGGCGCAAGCCUGAUGCAGCGACGCCGCGUGAGGGAUGACGGCCUUCGGGUUGUAAACCUCUUUCACCAGGGACGAAGCGAAAGUGACGGUACCUGGAGAAGAAGCACCGGCCAACUACGUGCCAGCAGCCGCGGUAAUACGUAGGGUGCGAGCGUUGUCCGGAAUUACUGGGCGUAAAGAGCUCGUAGGCGGUUUGUCGCGUCGUUCGUGAAAACUUGGGGCUUAACUCCAAGCGUGCGGGCGAUACGGGCAGACUUGAGUACUACAGGGGAGACUGGAAUUCCUGGUGUAGCGGUGAAAUGCGCAGAUAUCAGGAGGAACACCGGUGGCGAAGGCGGGUCUCUGGGUAGUAACUGACGCUGAGGAGCGAAAGCGUGGGUAGCGAACAGGAUUAGAUACCCUGGUAGUCCACGCCGUAAACGGUGGGUACUAGGUGUGGGUUCCUUUUCACGGGAUCCGUGCCGUAGCUAACGCAUUAAGUACCCCGCCUGGGGAGUACGGCCGCAAGGCUAAAACUCAAA